GACGAACGCUGGCGGCGCGCUUAACACAUGCAAGUCGAACGGAAAGGCCUGCUUUCCCUUGUGGAUUGCGGGUACUCGAGUGGCGAACGGGUGAGUAACACGUGAGUGAUCUGCCCCCAACUUGGGUAUAAGCCUGGGAAACUGGGUCUAAUUCCCGAUAGGACUGCAGGGUGGUGCCUGUGGUGGAAAACGAUUUUCUAGUGGUUGGGGAUGAGCUCGCGGCCUAUCAGCUUGUUGGUGGGGUAAUGGCCUACCAAGGCGGCGACGGGUAGCCGGCCUGAGAGGGUGGACCGCAACGUUAGGACUGAGAUACAGCCAAGACUCAUACGGGAGGCAGAAGUGGGGAAUAGUGCACAAUCGGCAGAAGAAUGAUGCGGCGACGCAGGGUGGGAGAUGACGGCCUUCGGGUUGUAAACUCCUUACGAGCGAGAGGAAGCCAAGUGGUUGGAAGGGUGGUGACGGUAGUGGUAGAAGAAGCACCGGCUAACUACGUG
rnacentral:rRNA from 1 species